AAUAUUGCAAAAUGGAGAAAACUCUGAUGCAGCGACGCCGCGUGAAUGGCGAAGGCCUUCGGGUCGUAAAAUUCUGUCCUUGGAGACGAUAAUGACGGUACCCAAGGAGGAAGCCCCGGCUAACUACGUGCCAGCAGCCGCGGUAAUACGUAGGGGGCGAGCGUUGUCCGGAAUUAUUGGGCGUAAAGGGUGCGUAGGCGGCCUUUUAAGUCAGAUGUGAAAGCCCACGGCUUAACCGUGGGACUGCAUUUGAAACUGGAGGGCUUGAGUAUCGGAGAGGGUAGUGGAAUUCCCAGUGUAGCGGUGGAAUGCGUAGAUAUUGGGAGGAACACCAGUGGCGAAGGCGACUACCUGGACGAAAACUGACGCUGAGGCACGAAAGCUAGGGGAGCAAACA
rnacentral:rRNA from 1 species